GACGGAGGAUGCAAGUGUUAUCCGGAAUCACUGGGCGUAAAGCGUCUGUAGGUGGUUUAAUAAGUCAACUGUUAAAUCCUUGAGGCUCAACCUCAAAAUCGCAGUCGAAACUAUUAGGCUAGAGUAUAGUAGGGGUAAAGGGAAUUUCCAGUGGAGCGGUGAAAUGCGUAGAGAUUGGAAAGAACACCAACGGCGAAAGCACUCUGCUGGGCCGACACUGACACUGAGAGACGAAAGCUAGGGGAGCGAAUGGGAUUAGA
rnacentral:rRNA from 1 species